GACGAACGCUGGCGGUGUGCUUAACACAUGCAAGUGGAGCGACGAACCAGAGCUUGCUCUGGGGCAGAGCCGCGAACGGGUGAGUAACACGUGGGUAACCUACCCUGACGACUGGGACAACCCUAGGAAACUCGGGCUAACACCGGAUGUGCUCUCCUCUCACGAGAGAGGCGAGUAAAGGAAGCGUCGGCCUCCGCAUCAGGAGGGGCCUGCGGCCCAUUAGUUUGUUGGUGGGGUAACGGCCUACCGAGACCGCGAUGGGUAGCUGGUCUGAGAGGACGAUCAGCCACACUGGGACUGAGACACGGCCCAGACUCCUACGGGAGGCAGCAGGGGGGAACCUUGCGCAAUGCGCGACAGCGUGACGCAGCAACACCGCGUGGGGGAAGAAGGCCUUCGGGUUGUAAACCCCUUUCAGGAGGGACGAAGGCCGGCCGGUGAAUAGCCGUGCCGGUUGACGGUACCUCCACAAGAAGCCCCGGCUAACUACGUGCCAGCCGCCGCAGUAA
rnacentral:rRNA from 1 species